UACGAAGGGUGCAAGCGUUACUCGGAAUUACUGGGCGUAAAGCGCGCGCAGGCGGUCCUUUAAGUCUGAUGUGAAAGCCCACGGCUCAACCGUGGAGGGUCAUUGGAAACUGGAGGACUUGAGUACAGAAGAGGAAAGCGGAAUUCCACGUGUAGCGGUGAAAUGCGUAGAGAUGUGGAGGAACACCAGUGGCGAAGGCGGCUUUCUGGUCUGUAACUGACGCUGAGGCGCGAAAGCGUGGGGAGCAAACAGGA
rnacentral:rRNA from 1 species